rnacentral:rRNA from 1 species
CCUGACGGUAGUCGUAUGCUCGUCUCCGAGACUAAGCCAUGCAAGUCCAAGUACACGUCCUUGAACGACGGAAACUGCGAACGGCUCAUUAAAUCAGUUGCGAUCUACUCGGCGUUCCGCGCCGCCGGAUAACCGUAGUAAUUCUAGGGCUAAUACGUGCGAAGCGCCCGAAGCCGCGAGGCGACGGGCGUUCUCGCCGGAUGUAGGAACCGACCCGGGGACCGCCGGGGCAACCCGGCGCCCCCGAGACGGGGCGAACCACGGUGAAAUGACGGAUCGUCGGCCCCGCGCCGGCGACUCGCCGAAUGAGUUUCUGACCUAUCAACUCGAGACGGCGGGGUAGAGGCCCGCCGCGGUAACGACGGGUAACGGGGAAUCAGGGUUCGAUUCCGGAGAGGGAGCCCGAGAAACGGCUACCACUUCCAAGGAAGGCAG